rnacentral:tRNA from 1 species
GCCCCAGUGGCCUAAUGGAUAAGGCACUGGCCUCCUAAGCCAUGGAUUGUGGGUUCGAGUCCCACCUGGGGUA